rnacentral:lncRNA from 1 species
GGGCGGCUUGCGGAUCCCGCCCAGGUAGUCCCGGGAGGGGGCCUUCCCGUCCGCAAAGAUGUCGCUGCCUGUCAUCUCCUUCAGCUUCGCCGUGCUCAGGUGCUUCUCCGCCGCCCCAGGGGUCUCGUCGCCCUUAAAGAUAUUGCCCGCGAGGUCGGUGAAUUUCUUGGUGGGGAUCUUCUUCGCGGUCUUCACCACGCUGUCCUCGUCAGCCUCGCC